rnacentral:misc_RNA from 1 species
WCUGUCGGCUGGCUCGUGCCGUCACCGAACGGUCGGCAGGCGAUCCGCGUCGGUCAGCGAGGCGGUAUGGUUCCCUUGAGGCCGGUUCUUGUGCUGCCUACCCCUUCAGGGGAAGCGGGCCAGUUGAUGUAAAAGCCUCCAUCCGGCGCCCUCCAACGGGCGCAGGAGGACAACGUAACACCCCCCGCGUUCCACCGAGCCUUACCCGGUCGCGUGGCGCGCGGGGACGUGCGAUGCUCUCGGACCCAGCGAACGCCGUGGGCGAGGACUCACGUCCCACUCCCGAUAGAAGCUCCGAUAUAUAAUGCAUGACGACCGCUCCCGACCCCAGACCGCCCCGGCGGCGCGGGGGCGAGGCGCGGCGUCGCGGAGGAAUGCUACCUGGUUGAUCCUGCCAGUAKUCAUAUGCUUGUCUCAAAGAUUAAGCCAU